rnacentral:rRNA from 1 species
GCUAGGAUGAACGCUGGCGGCGUGCUUAACACAUGCAAGUCGAACGGAGUUUUAAACGGAAGUCCUCGGAUGGAAGUUUAGAAACUUAGUGGCGGACGGGUGAGUAACGCGUGGGUAACCUGCCUCAUACAGGGGGAUAACAGUCGGAAACGAUUGCUAAAACCGCAUAACAUAGCGAAACCGCAUGAUUUUGCUAUCAAAUAUUUAUAGGUAUGAGAUGGGCCCGCGUCUGAUUAGCUAGUUGGUGGGGUAAUGGCCUACCAAGGCGACGAUCAGUAGCCGGCUUGAGAGAGUGACCGGCCACAUUGGGACUGAGACACGGCCCAAACUCCUACGGGAGGCAGCAGUGGGGAAUAUUGGACAAUGGGGGAAACCCUGAUCCAGCGAACCGCCGCGUGAGUGAAGAAGUAUUUCGGUAUGUAAAGCUCUAUCAGCAGGGAAGAUAAUGACAGUACCUGACUAAGAAGCCCCGGCUAACUACGUGCCAGCCGCAGC